rnacentral:rRNA from 1 species
AUGAUCUAUUCAAAGAAGCUUGCUCAACUUGCCAAGAAGUGGCAGAGGAUGGUGGCAAUCGGUGGCCAGCAGACUGCAGGCACCGACGGAUGCUGCAGCACCACCUCUGUCGCAGACAGGGGCCAUUGUGUCAUGUACACUGCUGAUGGGUCUCGGUUCGAGGUUCCGUUGGUGUACCUUGGCACAAUGGUCUUCAGUGAGCUCCUGAGGAUGUCUCAAGAGGAAUUUGGCUUCUCCAGCGAUGGCAAGAUCACAGUACCUUUUGAUGCUUCUGUGAUGGAGUAUGUGAUGUGUUUGAUUAGGAGAGAUGCCUCUGAAGAGGUUGAAAAGGCGUUCCUGAGCUCCAUAGCAAGGCCUUGCCACAGUGCGAGUUGUGUAGCUUCAGUGAGACUUAAUCAGCAAUUUGCUGUUUGUAGCUAG